ACAUCUGGCUGGGCUUCGCUCCUUGCGCGUCUGUCCCACUUUCUUCGCCUCUUCCUUUACUUUCGAGAAACCGCGCUUCCGCUUCUGCUCGCAGAGACCUCGGAGACCGCGCCGGGGAGACAGAGGUGCUGUGGGGGGGGGGACCUGUGGCUGCUCGUACCGCCCCCCACCCUCCGCUUCUGCACCGCGGUCCUCCGGAAGACCUUCUCCCCUGCUCUGUUUCCUUCACCGAGUCUGUGCGUCGCCCCGGAUCUGGCCGGGAGGAGGCUUGGCCGGCGGGAGAUGCUCUAAGGGCGGCGCGGGAGGAGCGGCCGGCGGGACGGAGGGUGUGGAAGGAAGAGGAAUGGUACUAAUGCCCGCGGCUGCACCUGGCGGGGAUGCCCUCACCCCACUCCUUAUCACUGGGACCACCUGACCGCCGGGUCUGUCCAGUCCUGUCUGUGGCCAACCUGGACCUUCACGGAAUAGGAAGCGCUGACUUUGGCCCCCGCAUCUGACAGCCUUGGUGUCCUGGA
rnacentral:sRNA from 1 species